GUUUUCUUCGGAAAGCGAGUAGAGUGGCGCACGGGUGAGUAACGCGUAGGUAAUCUACCCUUAUGACUGGGAUAACAUUGGGAAACUGGUGCUAAUACCGGAUACACUUCUUUACUGCGGGGUAAAGGAGNAGNGGUGGCCUCUUCAUGAAAGCUACCGUAUAGGGAUGAGCCUGCGUACCAUUAGCUAGUAGGCGGGGUAACGGCCCACCUAGGCAACGAUGGUUAGCGGGUCUGAGAGGAUGAUCCGCCACACUGGAACUGGAACACGGACCAGACUCCUACGGGAGGCAGCAGUGAGGAAUAUUGCGCAAUGGGGGAAACCCUGACGCAGCGACGCCGCGUGAGUGAGGAAGGUUUUCGGAUCGUAAAGCUCUGUCAGAAGGGAAGAAGUGUUAUAUGGUUAACACCCAUAUAAUUUGACGGUACCUUCAGAGGAAGCACCGGCUAACUCCGUGCCAGCAGCCGCGGUAAUACGGAGGGUGCAAGCGUUGUUCGGAAUUACUGGGCGUAAAGGGCGCGUAGGCGGCUGGAUAAGUCAGAUGUGAAAGUCCAUGGCUCAACUGUGGAAGUGCAUUUGAAACUGUCCGGCUUGAGUAUCGGAGGGGAGUGUGGAAUUCCCGGUGUAGAGGUGAAAUUCGUAGAGAUCGGGAGGAACACCGGUGGCGAAGGCGACACUCUGGACGAAUACUGACGCUGAGGCGCGAAAGCGUGGGGAGCAAACAGGAUUAGAUACCCUGGUAGUCCACGCCGUAAACGAUGUGAACUAGGGAUAGGGGGUGUUGAUCCCUCCUGUCCCGCAGCUAACGCAUUAAGUUCCCCGCCUGGGGGAGUACGGUCGCAAGAUUAAACUCAAAGG
rnacentral:rRNA from 1 species